AGAAGUAAUUAAGUCUGCUAUUACAGUAUUAGGAAAGGUUUGGCUAAGCAUUGCCAGCUGCUGAAAUACAUAGCACCCUCUCGUGGAAACUGGCACUGCUCAGGUACUUCCUUCGAACUGAGCAGAACAAUAGUCAUUUUCCUUGCAAACCUGGAGUAUGAUUUUUCAACCGUAGCAUGUCUAAAUUCCAAAAUCCAUUAUGGUGCACCUGCAGAUGUCAGUAUAGCCUAAAAAAUGUAUCCUUAAAAAGACGGCUUCCAAUUAGUGAAGGUGAAUGCUUUACUUCGAACUUUAGGCCAUUCACAGCAAAGCUGUGACUCUGCUAAGGACUUGGGGUUUUUGUAAGGGAGUAUUCUCCUGAGGCCGAUUUCUGCACGAGCCACUGCCUUUGUAAGCUGCAAAAGCAACCUGGUGCCCUUCGCUCACCUUGGUUAGCUGCGGUUGACGUCACGGUAAAUGCAAUCCUACCAUGAUCAAUGCGGAUGGAUUGUGUCUUCAGCUGAUCCACAGACUUCAGCAGCAAAUUCCCUUCGGGCUCCUCCUCGACAGCGGCUCAGCAGGCAGCGUGAAGCCUCGGCACAUGUGCACCGCCUUGUCUGCAUCUGUCCCAGAGGCCCUCUGGAGGCCCUCUGCAUCUGUCCCAGCGUGGAGGCCCCAGAGCCCCGCUGUGCUCACCAGGCUGGGCUCGAAGGCUGGCUCUGCCUGCCUGCCCCCUCCCGAAGGACCGCACGCACACAGAUUUGCACACGCUUUCCCACAGUGGUGAGGGCACCAGGUGCUUUUGGCCCACAGUCACCCCCAAGCGAGGGACUGGGCGACCUCUCUGCUGCUGGAGGAUGGAGGACGGUGAGGCGAGACACGGAGGGCCAAACUGCCCUGACGCAGCCACAGUGGCCCAUGCAAAAACAUCGCUGUGGGGCUAUAAACGUGUUCGUGGCAGAGCGAGGACUGUGCAGGAGGGGAGGGCAGGUCCCAGGCAGCCAGUCCAAGAUGAACCUCUCAGCACCUGCCCAGGGCAACUUUUAA
rnacentral:lncRNA from 1 species